rnacentral:rRNA from 1 species
CGGAGGGUGCGAGCGUUGUCCGGAAUCAUUGGGCGUAAAGGGCGCGUAGGUGGCCCGGUCAGUCUUUGGUGAAAGCGCGGGGCUCAACCCUGCGUCGGCCAGGGAUACUGCCGCGGCUCGAGCACUGUAGGGGCAGGCGGAAUUCCGGGUGUAGCGGUGGAAUGCGUAGAGAUCCGGAAGAACACCGGUGGCGAAGGCGGCCUGCUGGGCAGUUUGGCUGACACUGAGGCGCGACAGCGUGGGGAGCAAACAGGAUUAGAUACCCUGGUAGUCCACGCCGUAAACGAUGGGCACUAGGCGCUUGGGGGAGCGACCCCCCGAGGGCCGGCGCUAACGCAUUAAGUGCCCCGCCUGGGGAGUACGGCCGCAAGGCUG